CACUGUGGCUACAAUCUGCUUUCUUUGGCAACUUAUCAUCAGUGUAAAAGGAGAGUCCAUAUUGAUUUUCACUUCUGUAAGCAGUUCACAUGAAUUCUGUGAAACUCCAAGUGAGCAACGUAGGGCAAACUUUAUCUUCUAAGGAAAUAGUGGCUCGAAUAUUUGAGAGCAAACAUCUCAUUUAUGAUGAACAAAUACAUCAUUUACUUACAGAAGUUUCCACUGUAAUGAAGUUGAAACAGCUAAAAUAACUUGAAGAUGAAUGAAUAUGUGAACAAAACUUUUCUUGGCUUUGCCUAACCAGUUCUCUCUUUUCCAUUUACAGCUAUUCAAG
rnacentral:lncRNA from 1 species